rnacentral:tRNA from 1 species
GGAGGGUAUAGCUCAGUGGUAGAGUGUGUGCUUAGCAUGCAUGAGGUCCUGGGUUCAAUCCCCAGUACCUCCA